GAUGAAGAACGCAGCGAAAUGCGAUAAGUAAUGUGAAUUGCAGAAUUCAGUGAAUCAUCGAAUCUUUGAACGCACAUUGCGCCCCCUGGUAUUCCGGGGGGCAUGCCUGUCCGAGCGUCAUUGCUGCCCUCAAGCACGGCUUGUGUGUUGGGCCCCGUCCUCCGAUCCCGGGGGACGGGCCCGAAAGGCAGCGGCGGCACCGCGUCCGGUCCUCGAGCGUAUGGGGCUUUGUCACCCGCUCUGUAGGCCCGGCCGGCGCUUGCCGAUCAACCCAAAUUUUUAUCCAGGUUGACCUCGGAUCUGGUAGGGAUACCCGCUGAACUUAAGCAUAUCAAUAAGCGGAGGA
rnacentral:misc_RNA from 1 species